GUUUACAUGUCGAUAAGGGAUGUGAAAAAGGGAACCGCAGAAAUCUCGGCAAAGGCAAAACACCAAGGCUGCCUGUGGGAAUUGGAGUCAGAGAAAGAGCCCGGGAAGCUUUAAGUUCCAGAACGGCCCCUGGUACAAUACUUGUCUGCCUUGGGGCUUUGGGCUGACCCCAGACACCGAGGACUGUAAACACUUUUCCAGUCACAUAAACGGAAGGAUUCUGUGCCUGCUACUUCGGCAUUUUCUCCUUAAGAGACCUGUGGCAAAACAAGUGAAAAACACAGCUUCAAAGUCAUCACCAGCGUCACCAUGAGCCAAAACAGACCUCCUGAGGCCAACCCUUUUUGUCCCUUUCCUGUGCACAAUGAGUCCCAUUGCCUUCAUCACCCAAGUGACAGUCUGGCCUUGUGAUUUAUGAGCAUGGUGUCUCCGUGGCUGGGCUCUGAGCGUCUGCACCCUGGGUUUCUGGGAGCCUCGUGCAACGGUGAGCCCACUGCAGGGGCUUGAAAAGUAUCUGUUGACCAUCUGACAGGGUGAAUGAAUGACGCGGAGUCACGUUGCAACAGAUCCUGCUAUGGAAUCACCUGGAGAUCUCCAACUAAGAGCACAGAAGACGGGCGAGCAACUCAGCCCCUUGAAGGCACAGCAUUCAGCAAAGGCAUAUGUUCAUGAUGAGGCCUUGGAGAAAUCCCAAGGAGAUCUGCUCUCAGUUACACGAUUAUUUGGUUGGGUUUUACUUCUUGUUCAUCUAGCCAUCCGCCAAUGCUUCAUGACUAGCUUUUAACAUUUAACAAAUGAGGAAACUGGAA